UAUCAAUAAGCGGAGGAAAAGAAACUAACAAGGAUUCCCCUAGUAACUGCGAGUGAAGCGGGAAAAGCUCAAAUUUAAAAUCUGGCGGUCUUUGGCUGUCCGAGUUGUAAUCUAGAGAAGUAAUGCCCGUGCUGGACCGUGUAUAAGUCUCCUGGGAUGGGGCGUCAUAGAGGGUGAGAAUCCCGUCUUUGACACGGACUACCAGUGCAUUGUGGUAUGCUCUCAAAGAGUCGAGUUGUUUGGGAAUGCAGCUCAAAAUGGGUGGUAAAUUCCAUCUAAAGCUAAAUAUUGGCGAGAGACCGAUAGCGAACAAGUACCGUGAGGGAAAGAUGAAAAGAACUUUGGAAAGAGAGUUAAACAGUACGUGAAAUUGCUGAAAGGGAAACGCUUGAAGUCAGUCGCGUUGGCCGGGGAUCAGCCUUGCUUUUGCAUGGUGUACUUUCUGGUUGACGGGUCAGCAUCAAUUUUGACCGCUGGAAAAGGGCCUGGGGAAUGUGGCAGCUUCGGCUGUGUUAUAGCCCCUGGUCACAUACGGCGGUUGGGAUUGAGGAACUCAGCACGCCGCAAGGCCGGGUUUCGACCACGUUCGUGCUUAGGAUGCUGGCAUAAUGGCUUUAAGCGACCCGUCUUGAAACACGGACCAAGGAGUCUAACAUGCCUGCGAGUAUUUGGGUGAAAAACCCGAGUGCGCAAUGAAAGUGAAAGUUGAGAUCCCUGUCGUGGGGAGCAUCGACGCCCGGACCAGAACUUUUGGGACGGAUCCGCGGUGGAGCAUGUAUGUUGGGACCCGAAAGAUGGUGAACUAUGCCUGAAUAGGGUGAAGCCAGAGGAAACUCUGGUGGAGGCUCGUAGCGAUUCUGACGUGCAAAUCGAUCGUCAAAUUUGGGUAUAGGGGGCGAAAGACUAAUCGAACCAUCUAGUAGCUGGUUCUGCG
rnacentral:rRNA from 1 species